rnacentral:rRNA from 1 species
AGUUCGGAUCGGAGUCUGCAACUCGACUCCGUGAAGCUGGAUUCGCUAGUAAUCGCGCAUCAGCCAUGGCGCGGUGAAUACGUUCCCGGGCCUUGUACACACCGCCCGUCAAGCCAUGGGAGCCGGGGGUACCUGAAGUCCGUAACCGCGAGGAUCGGCCUAGGGUAAAACUGGUGACUGGGGCUAAGUCGUAACAAGGUAGC